GCCUGGGUGGCUCAGUGGGUUAAGCGUCUGACUUUGGCUUAGGUCAUGAUCUCACGGUUCAUGGGUUCGAGCCCUGUGUCAGGCU
rnacentral:tRNA from 1 species